UACGUCGGUGGCAAGCGUUGUCCGGAAUUAUUGGGCGUAAAGCGCGCGCAGGCGGUCCUUUAAGUCUGAUGUGAAAGCCCUCGGCUCAACCGUGGAGGGUCAUUGGAAACUGGGGGACUUGAGUACAGAAGAGAAGAGUGGAAUUCCACGUGUAGCGGUGAAAUGCGUAGAGAUGUGGAGGAACACCAGUGGCGAAGGCGACUCUUUGGUCUGUAACUGACGCUGAGGCGCGAAAGCGUGGGGAGCAAACAGG
rnacentral:rRNA from 1 species